rnacentral:rRNA from 1 species
GACGAACGCUGGCGGCGUGCUUAACACAUGCAAGUCGAACGGAAAGACCCUGCUUUUGUGGGGUGCUCGAGUGGCGAACGGGUGAGUAACACGUGAGUAACCUGCCCUUGACUUUGGGAUAACUUCAGGAAACUGGGGCUAAUACCGGAUAGGAGCUCCUGCUGCAUGGUGGGGGUUGGAAAGUUUCGGCGGUUGGGGAUGGACUCGCGGCUUAUCAGCUUGUUGGUGGGGUAGUGGCUUACCAAGGCUUUGACGGGUAGCCGGCCUGAGAGGGUGACCGGCCACAUUGGGACUGAGAUACGGCCCAGACGCCUACGGGAGGCAGCAGCGGGGAAUAUUGCACAAUGGGCGGAAGCCUGAUGCAGCAACGCCGCGUGCGGGAUGACGGCCUUCGGGUUGUAAACCGCUUUCGCCUGUGACGAAGCGUGAGUGACGGUAAUGGGUAAAGAAGCACCGGCUAACUACGUG